rnacentral:rRNA from 1 species
AGGACGAACGCUGGCGGCGUGCUUAAUACAUGCAAGUCGAACGAGGUUUAGUCAGUGGCAACACUGACGACUGCCUAGUGGCGAACGGGUGAGUAACACGUGGGCAACCUGCCCCUAGCUCUGGGAUAACCCCGGGAAAUCGGGACUAAUACCGGAUAUGAAGUCGGACGGCAUCUUCUGACUUGGAAAGUUUUUCGGCUAGGGGAUGGGCCCGCGGCCUAUCAGCUUGUUGGUGGGGUAACGGCCUACCAAGGCGACGACGGGUA